UGGCAGCUGGUUUGCAGACAGAACUGAAGAUAGAGUUAUUUGCCACGGCUGUUGGAGAGGAUGGGGCCAAGGGAUCAGCACACAUCUCUCACAAUAUCGAGAUUAUGACAGAGCAUGAGGUUCUGUUCCUACCUGUGGAAGCAACAGUUUUAACAAGCAGCAAUUAUGAUAAACGACCAAAAGACUUUCCCCAGGGAAAAGAAAAUUCAAUGGUCCAGAGAACUUCUACAAUUUAUUCCUCCACACUUGGAGUCUUCAUGUCUCGUAAAGUUUCUCCACAUUAGGAACCCCUCCUUCUUACUUCAGAAAAAGUAUUCUAAAAUGGCAAGAUCUGCAUGAGUUUAGAGUCAGUCAGAUCUGGGUUGACAACUGAACUCUGCCCCUUACCAACUAUGCUACAAGUCAAGCCAGAUUCCUUAUCUAUAAGUUUCUUCUCGGUACAACUCAAUAGCCUCCAUAAUCCUCUCAGCCUACAGAGGAUGAGAAAGGAAAGAAGUCAUCACAACAUACUCCAUCAUCCCAGGACACUGAAACUGGAAGAACUGACCAGAAAUUUGCCAAAUGAAAUAGCUUCAAUCCGUUUAAUAAAGACGUGCCAAUAGAGUGCCAAAAA
rnacentral:sRNA from 1 species